CCUACGGGGGGCUGCAGUGGGGAAUCUUGCGCAAUGGGCGAAAGCCUGACGCAGCGACGCCGCGUGGGUGAUGAAGGCCUUCGGGUUGUAAAGCCCUGUGGGGAGAGACGAAUAAGUCGUGGCGAAUAGCCCCGAUGAUGACGGUAUCUCCUUAGCAAGCACCGGCUAACUCUGUGCCAGCAGCCGCGGUAAUACAGAGGGUGCAAACGUUGUUCGGAAUUACUGGGCGUAAAGCGCGUGUAGGCGGUCUUGCAGGUCGGAUGUGAAAGCCCUCG
rnacentral:rRNA from 1 species